AUGGAGUUAACAGGAGCCACAUUAUUCAUCGUUUCUCUCGCCUCAGUGGUGAUUCUAGCUUCCUUUCUGAGCCGCAAAUUAGCACCAAGUUCCAAGAGUAGGCGGCCUCCGGGCCCAUGGCGUCUGCCCUUGAUCGGAAACCUCCACCAGAUCGUCGGGGCCCAGCCGCCGGUCGUACUCCGGGACCUGGCCAAGAAGCACGGGCCGGUCAUGUACCUUCGGCUGGGCCAGGUCGACACCGUCGUGGUCUCCUCGCGGUCGGCCGCAGAGGAGCUGCUGCGGGAGAAGGACCUCUCCUUCGCGUCGCGGCCCAACCUUCUGGUCGCGGAGAUCAGCUUCUACGGCAACAUCGACAUCGCCAUGACUCCGUACAGCGCGUACUGGCGGACGCUGCGCAAGAUCUGCACCGUCGAGCUCCUCAGCGAGCGCAAGGUGAGGCAGUUCUCGCCGGUGAGGGACAGCGAGACCAUGUCCCUCGUUAGGAACGUCCGCGAGGCCGCCGCCGCCUCGGGUGGCAACCCAUUCAACCUCGGCAGCCUGCUAAUUUCAUGCUCCAACUCGGUGACCGGGAAGGCGGUGUUCGGGGAGAAGUGCAGCCCCGAGCUCCAGGAGCAAUUUCUGUCGGCCAUGGAUGUGGUGCUUAAGCUCAGCGGGGCGCUCUGCAUCGGGGACCUCUUCCCGUCGCUGUGGUUCGUCGACGUGCUCACCGGGCUCAGAGGCAGGGUAUGGCGGGCCCGCCGGCAGCAGGACAAGGCCCUGGACAAGAUGAUCUCUCAGUCCGAGUCCAAGAUGCGGCGGGGUGAUCACCUUCUCGGCGUUUUGCUUAGGAUCAAGGACGAGGGAGAGCUUGACUUCCCCAUGGAAAUGGAUAACGUCAAGGCAAUCAUAAUGGAUAUGUUCACGGCUGGGACGGAGACAACAUCAUCAGCAGCCGAGUGGGCCAUGUCGGAGCUCAUGAGGAACCCUGAGGUGAUGGCCAAGGCACAGGCUGAGGUGCGCCGAACAUUCGACGAUAAGAACCCACAAGAUCAUGAGGAACACAUUGCGGAGCUACACUACACAAAGAUGGUAAUCAAGGAGGCCAUGAGGCUAUAUCCAGUGGUGCCAAUGUUAAUCCCCCAUGUCUGCCGAGAGACCUGCGACCUUGGCGGGUUUGAGGUCACCAAGGGUACAAGGGUUAUGGUCAAUACCUGGGCUUUCGGUAGGAACCCCGAGUACUGGCAUGAGCCUGAGGAGUUCAAGCCAGAGAGGUUCGAGGACGGCACCGCAACCUACAAAGGAUCGCGGUUUGACUACUUGCCAUUCGGGAGCGGGAGGAGGAACUGCCCCGGUGAUAACUUCGGUUUGGCCGUGCUGCACCUCAUGGUGGCACGGCUCCUAUACUAUUUUGACUGGAGCCUCCCUGCCGGUGUGAAGCCGAGUGAGCUGGACAUGGAAAUGAGGGUUGGCAUGACCUUAAGGAGAAAGAACCAACUGCACCUAGUGGCAACACCGUAUAAGGCAUGCAGUUGA
rnacentral:rRNA from 1 species